CUGCUAAAAAGCUGAGGAGUUCUUGAAGCACAUCUUUUGAAAUCUUAACUACUAUUUUUCAUUUUGUACCACCCUGAGAAAUAUUAGAUGCUAAAAAAAAUUGCCUGUAAAUACUAGCUGUGCUUGUUUGAGGUGUGCUUACCGUGAUUCCUUCAUUUACCUCUGUUCUCCUCCUCAUAAAACCCGCUAAAGGAUACUAUCCAUCAGCUGUCACUCACAAAUUGUCAAUCAAAUUGGCAUCUCAAACAAGCCUAACGUAGACUCAAUGUUUCUCGUGGCGUCGAAACGACGUUGAUCUCCGACGUCGAUCUGGCAUCAGUUUGCUCAUCGGGGUGUUGAUCCAACGUCAGGCGCUCCAUUCAAAUCUAACGGAAAAUCGACGCAAUUGGUUUACUUGCCCAACGUUGAAUCGACGUUGAUUUUAGGUUGGUUGAAACGACGUCAUAGAAUCAACACGUAUUCAACAUAAAAUCGAUCCAAUAAGCCUUUUUCACACGUAACCGGAAACUACGUCACACAGGAUAAACUUAUUUCCGCCGCAGCUGAAACUACGGCGUUUCCAUGGAGCGUUAUUUCACUGCUUCUCUCUCGGUGCUGCCGCGACUCAAGUUCGAGGAUGUUGAAAGAAUAGUUGGACGGCAUUCAACAACUAAAGAAGCAAGGCUGAGCAAGGGCUAUAAAUUCUUUGUCGAGAAGUUUAUACACAAUUAUUAAGUCUCAAAUGUUGUUGAUCAGAAGGUGGUAGUGAGAGCUAGGUGUUAUCGUUCUAUGAGGAAAGAUGAGGAGCUCCACACACUUGAGAUGGCAUUGAAAUCGGAAGAGGUCGUUAGUGUUUCUGCCUAUCUGUGCAGCUGGUAAAGGAUUGUGCAACCAUCUGACAGCACUUUUGUAUCAGACGGCCCACUAUGUGCGGCUUAAUUUACAAACCGUCCCACCACCACUGGCCUGCACAAGUGUGCCACAGAGAUGGCAUCGUCCAAGAACACAGGCAUGUAUUUUUCUCUUCUGCACUUGGCAAGAACACUAUUAACUCAAAGAAAGUAUAUGUAAACAUUUAAACAUUGUAGACUAAUAAUGAACAAGAGUGCAGAUUAAGUAACAAAUAUAUAAAUGAAAAUCACCCAAGAUCAAUAAACAGCUGUUAACUAUUGCUGUUCGUUUUAACACUGCAUUUGUUUGUUUUAUACUAAGGGAGUCCAUCCAGAGGCAGUGAGUGAACUUCACGUCCUGAAACCAAAAUCAGUUGGGAAGACUGGAAUCAAGUCUACCCUAUACAAGGCUUACACAGUCGUAAUUGCCCACAGGUGGUAAUCAUCAGAGUGUGCUGUGGAGUGUGCUGCUACAAGAACAGAGUGAACGCUGCUGGAGAAGGUUCAUUCCUCCCCUGCUCCAGAAUUGUGCUGGGUGUUGUUUCAACCUUUGACUGUUGAGUGUGGUGCAAACUUUGAACAUUUCUCUUUUGAAUAGCUCUUGUUUGUUAUAAGUGUAUUCCUGUUGGGCUGAUACUAGACAGGUAGUGUCUACUUUUACUUAAAUUCUGUGUUAAGGUAUUAGAAGGUAUUGUAAUUUUCUUUGUUUAUUUGCUUUAUGAUUAAGUGGGAAACUGUAGGGAGAGGGUGCCAUUUUAUGUUGGUGCUCCUGUUUAUUCCUGUGUUUUUGGUUAGUGAGGGAGUAGAGGAAAGCUUUUGUUGUUGAUUUCUUUUCUUUUACCCAUAGGUUAUUUAGUACUCCUCCUGUUAGCUAUCUGUUGUUUUGUUUAUUUUGGCCAGGCCCUCUCCUGAAGACAUUUAUUGUUCCCAUGAUCUUUGCUUUCUAAAUAAAUUAAGUUUGUCAAAGCUAAGUGGUUGUCACAUUUCUGGGGCAGAGGACUGGGGUGACUCCUCCUCAUUUUAUUAAUUUCUUUCUUAUAAGUUUUCGUUAAACCUGUUACUCCCACUCCCCGACCCUAGACUGGGGAAAGGGAACGUAACCUGUAUUAAUCUCAUUAAUUGUCAUGUGUAGCUUGAAGCUCAUUGUAAUUUCUCCAUUACCCAUAUACGUUUAUAUUUCAUAAUGUAUUUUAUCAAAUCACAUAAAUUUGUAAGAAAUUGUUUAAUUUUCCAAAAAUAUUUUUUAUUAUAGUAAUAUAAUGUACCACAUGCUGAUCAGAGGGAUGUGUGGGAUGCCAGAAUAAAGUACAGCCAGAAUAAAGUACAGCCACAACUUACACCACAAUGUUCAGAUCAUAUUUUCUCCUGACAAAAUCAAUAUAAUAUUUAUUACGUGCCUGUUAUGACCACGUCUCUGCUCAAUAAAAGUCUGCAGAUGGAUCCGCACGUCUCACGUCUCGUCAGCCCUGUAACAGAAUACUCGGCCGCACAAGGAUCCAGCGGCUUUUCAUGCGGAUAUUGGCCAGGUAUGGACACUGCGAGACUGUUAUUAACCCUCGAGCAGGGCUUGCGAUCGCUCGAGGAUUAUAUACAUUAUUUACAAUAGAUAUUUCUAUCUGCUGAAUGUAUGCUUUUCCAUAUUCCAAGCUUGCCUGCUGCACUGGGGACAUCACAUGCAUGUGCGAGUCGUGAAAAUUAUGAAAAUAAAUCUAGGAAUUAUUUGAUUGUUGGAUUUUAAAUCAGUGGGGUUGAGGCAUCAAAAGUAACUAAGCUGUUUUAUGGAUGGUAACUGUAAUAUUACUGAAAUCUUAUUAGUAAUUAGUUACACUACUAGUUACUGCAAAAAGUAAUAAUAUUACAGUAACUAAAUUACUUGUAACUAGUUACUGUCCAACACUGCAAGGCAGACAAGUGCCAUGAAACGUGGCCUUGAACUUGAGCCAGAUAUUUUGAGAAAAUAUUCUGAGACAGCCAGUAUUCGUGUCCUACCAUGUGGCUUCAUUAUCAACCCAGAAGCACCACAUCUGGGAGCUAGUCCAGACGGACGAGUGCACGAUCCAUCUGAAACAUUCCAAUUUGGACUAGUGGAGGUAAAAAGCACAUCUGCUGACAACAUUGCUCAGGUUCCAUUUAUGAAAAUUCAAAGAGGACAAGCCAAGC